GCCCGGGUUGGCGAAUUGGUACAGCCGUGCGGUCUUAAACACCGCUGCCCGCAAGGGCGUGCGGGUUCGAAUCCCGCCCCGGGUA
rnacentral:tRNA from 1 species